AGUGACGUCACUGUUGGAGAGCCAUAUAGCACACCGUGAUUGGUGGAUUCCUUCAGCUCCGCCCACAACGCUGUCAAGCACCAUUCAUAUCAAACUCUCACUAACAUUCAACUUUCAUAUUAGCGUGGGAGCCGCAAAAUAAGAUCUCACGUGUCUGAGACCCUGGUCUAAUAUAUAUAUAGAUGUGUCAGAAGUGCUACUGACACUUUGAUCAUGUUUGCUUUUCCUGUCUUUGAAAUCACUUCCUGUCCUGCUGCUCUUAUUUUCUCACUGUUUCCUGUUUGCUCUCUGUCUUUUGUGGCACCUUUACUCUCUGCUCCGUGUCUGCACACCUGUUCCUCGUUUAAUUAGUUGUAUUUAGUUCCACCUGAGUCCCUCCUUCACUGCUUCAUCAUUAUUCUUUUUUGACGGAUGUGGAUCGGACGGGUUUUAUUCGCAAGCCAAACAUUCCUCCCGCUGUGCCAACCUCACCUGUGGGGUCCCUAGGGCUCAAUACUGGGUUCCAUCCUGUUCUCCAUCUACAUGCUCUCCCUCAGCCAAGUCAUUCAUCGCCUUAAAAUUUCCUUUCAUUUCUACACUGAUGAUACUAAAUCUAUCUUCCACUCAAGACAGACGAUCCCUCUGGACUGGACCAUUUGAAGGACUGCUUGCAGGACAUAAAAGAGUGGAUGUCAAAAUUUCCUGCAGCUCAAUGACAGAGUGAAAUUCUUCUGUUCGGGAACUCCAACCUCCCAACCGUGCACAAUAGCCAAGAUCAAGUAUGUCCUCUCCCCCAGUGACUUAGAGGGUCGUGUUCAUGCUCAUCUUCUGCAGACUGGACUAAUGGAAUGCCCUCUAUGCUGGGGUCACUAACAAGACCAUAUAUAGCAUGCAGUUGGUACAAAAUGCUGGUGACAGGCACAAAAAUGAGGGAACACAUUUCUCCCAUCCUCUCCUCCCUUCACUGGCUCCUGGUGAAGCACAGAGUGAAAUUUAAGAUCCUUACGUAUGUCUUCAAAGCGCUCCGUGGUCUUACCCCAGCUUACAUCAAACAUGUCCUGGACCAACCUAUCAGCUCCAGGCUUGGUCGUUGCCUCAGAUCUGACAACCAGAUGACCUUGAAGGUCCCACAGUCAAACCUAGUGACAAAGAGAGACUGUGCAUUUUCAAUGAUGGUACCUGGCCUAUGGAAUAAGCUCCCCCUGAAAGUCAAGUCCGCCACCACUCUGGACACUUUUAGAGCACAGCUUAAAACUCACCUCUUUGCCGCAAAUGACUUGAUUUGUGUUCAUGUGUCUUAAAUGUUUGUUCUAAA